UUGAUAACAUUGAAAACACUGGUUCUUGUCCGAUCACUUAAGUUAAGCAAUGUCGGGCCCGGUCAGUUCUUGGGAGGGUGACCACCUGGGAACACCGGAUGCAGCUGUAGGCU